UACGUAGGUGGGAAGCGUUGUCCGGAGUUACUGGGCGUAAAGAGCGCGCAGGCGGUCGUUCAAGUCGCGUGUGAAAGCCCCCGGCUCAACUGGGGAGGGUCACGCGAUACUGAUCGACUCGAAGGCAGGAGAGGGAAGUGGAAUUCCCGGUGUAGUGGUGAAAUGCGUAGAUAUCGGGAGGAACACCAGUGGCGAAGGCGACUUCCUGGCCUGUUCUUGACGCUGAGGCGCGAAAGCUAGGGGAGCAAACGGG
rnacentral:rRNA from 1 species